rnacentral:rRNA from 1 species
AAUCAACGCUGGCGGCGUGCCUCAGACAUGCAAGUCGAACGAUUAAGACUCCCUUCGGGGAGUGUAUAAAGUGGCGUACGGGUGAGUAACACGUAAGUAAUCUACCUUCGAGUGGGGAAUAACAUCGGGAAACCGAUGCUAAUACCGCAUAAUGCAGCGGCAUCGAAAGAUGACAGUUGUUAAAGGAGCAAUUCGCUUGAAGAGGAGCUCGCGGCAGAUUAGCUAGUUGGUAAGGUAAUGGCUUACCAAGGCUACGAUCUGUAUCCGGUCUAAGAGGACGGUCGGACACACUGACACUGAAUAACGGGUCAGACUCCUACGGGAGGCAGCAGUCGGGAAUUUUGGGCAAUGGGCGAAAGCCUGACCCAGCAACGCCGCGUGAGGGAUGAAGUAUUUCGGUAUGUAAACCUCGAAAGAAUGGGAAGAAUAAAUGACGGUACCAUUUAUAAGCUCCGGCUAACUACGUGCCAGCCGCCGCAGUAAGAC